AUACAAUUCAGAAAAC
rnacentral:sRNA from 1 species